UCCCUGGUGGUCUAGUGGUCUAGUGGUUAGGAUUCGGCGCUCUCACCGCCGCGGCCCGGGUUCGAUUCCCGGGCAGGGAA